GAGUUUGAUCAUGGCUCAGGAUUAACGCUGGCGGCAUGCCUAAUACAUGCAAGUCGAACGGAGUAGCAAUACUUAGUGGCGAACGGGUGAGUAACACGUAUCUAAUCUACCAUUUAGUGGGGAAUAACUGUUGGAAACGACAGCUAAUACCGCAUAAUAUUGCUGGAUAAUUUCCAGUAAUGAAAGGAGCUUUCAAGCUCCGCUGAUUGAUGAGGAUGCGGCGCAUUAGCUAGUUGGUAGGGUAAUGGCCUACCAAGGCAGUGAUGCGUAGCCGAUCUGAGAGGAUGAACGGCCACAUUGGGACUGAGACACGGCCCAAACUUCUACGGAAGGCAGCAGUAGGGAAUUUUUCACAAUGGGCGAAAGCCUGAUGGAGCAAUGCCGCGUGACUGAUGAAGGUCUUCGGAUUGUAAAGGUCUGUUGUAAGGGAAGAAAUGGUAAAACAGGAAAUGGUUUUAUCUAUGACGGUACCUUACCAGAAAGCCACGGCUAACUAUGUGCCAGCAGCCGCGGUAAUACAUAGGUGGCAAGCGUUAUCCGGAUUUAUUGGGCGUA
rnacentral:rRNA from 1 species